rnacentral:lncRNA from 1 species
GGGAGUGUGGCCCUGGGGGAGUCACUGUGGCAGUCAGCUGUUACUGUGUCACAAGCCACCCCCAAACUCGACGGUUACUUAAUCUGUGAGGCUGCGGUCAGUGACUUUCUUCUGAUCUGUUCUUCUGAUCGCAGCUGAUUGCUUGUGCAUCUGGGGUCAGCUGUGGGCCAGGGAGGCAGAGGGGUUUGAUGGCAGGGCCUCUGUUACCUGCCCUCUUCCUUUAACACGCAAUUAUUGAACACCCACUGUAUUAGAGUUCUCCAGAAAAACAGAACCAAUAGGAUGUGCGUGGAUAUAUAGAAAGAGAUUUACUAUAUGGACUGGACUCACACUUUUGGAGGCUGACAAGUCCUAGGAUCUGCAGGCGGCGAGCUGGGCAUUUUCUCCUGAAGUAGCCGUGAGUCUGAGUAGGGCCCUGGCCUUUCAAAAGGACUUGUCCGAGGACUGAACUCAGCGUGCUCGGGGAGACGGAGGAGGGAGAGCAGAGAGGGGGGGAGGGCUGGAGGAACCGGGCACAGAGGGGCCGCAGGUGCGUUACGACUGUUGGAUGGUGAGCACCCGAGAGGGAGCCAGCCAGUCUCGAGGUCUCACUGUUCUUUUCACCAGCAAUCUCACGUCCACACCUCGGGAAGUGGCGUCCACACCUCGGGAGCUGACAUGAACACCUCAUUUUCCAGAUGAGGAAACCAAGGCUACAGGAGGUAAAGGACGUGCUCAAGACCAGCAAGGCAGUAAGGGCUGGGGCCAGACUCAGCCCCAUGACAGUACGACGCCAGGUCAGACUGGGCGGGUGAAGUUCACCGAAUCGCUUUUAUGUUCCGAUGUCACACUCUUGCUUGUUUCAAAGAGGCAGACACUGUCUUCAGAACUCAUGGAAAUCAACACAAAUUUUUUGGCACUUGUCAGACAGAGGCAGCCUUCCACGCCCGGAGCGGCAGAGGGAGUGGGCAAUCAGACGAUGCUGGUCCAGAGAGGAGGAACUGGGAUUGCUAAAUUUCUGGGCUUUUCUUUCUCUAAGUUCCAUCUGUACAAAGGGGAUUAUUGCUGGGUUAACUGGUUUUAAUAUAAACUGCCAUAAUAUUUUAAUACAAAUUGCUGUAACAUUUUUUUCUGCAAAUAAGGAUACAAAAAUCUUCCCCAACCUGUGCACAGGAGGACUCGGGGCUGAGGGGUGGAGGGCUGUGGGGCAGAGCAUGCACCGAGGAAUGUGUCCCCGAAGCAGGAAGCGACUUUCUUUGCAGAGACAGGUGGCGUGAUAACUGCGCAGAAAACAGCCAGGCCUGUGCAGUGAAGGGUCCCUUGGAGCCACCACACGCCACGAGGCCAGGGGAGGGCAGGGGGUCGGCUGCCCCAGCCCAGCAGUGCUCUGAGGACGCUGCUGAGUCCGUCACAGUGAAUUCCUGCCUGGAGACUUUCGAUCCUUUCAAACACACUGCGAAAAACUCCUCGUUGUACGUAUUUGAGAGAAUAUGACGAACCCAGCAAAGUCGGGAACUGCUGCUCCAGGCCAGCCCUGUGUGAUCAAAAUGUAAUGUAAGCCACGUUUUAAAUUUUCUAGGAACCCCAUUUAAAACAGAAAAAGAAAUGAUGACAUUAAUUUUAAUAAUAUAUUUAACUCAACAUAUCCAAAAUAUUAUCAUUUCAACAUGAAAGCAAAUUAUUAUCUUCACUUUUUUUUUUACACCGUGCCUCUGAAAUCCGCCGUGUAUUUUACACACGCUGCACAGCUCGGUUCCGACCGGCCGCAUUCUGAGUCGCCACCUUGGACAGGCCCAGAAGCUCUGGGGGCGGGAGCACACCCAGGUCCACGCAUUCGGUGUGCGUCUACUGAGCAGCCGCCGUCCACCGUGCCUGCUGUGGGUGCAGGAAGGGAGAGAGGCCUCGCCUGACUUCCGGGGGCUCCCUGGGCAGAGAGGAGGUGGACAAGGGACGUCUGGGCCGCUUGAACCCCAGCGUGUCAUCCCAGCACCCACUUAAAAGCUUCCACAGUGGGAUGGACGCUCCCCAUUGCCCCAGAGAGGUCAGUUACUAAAGAGGCUUUUCUUACACAGAGUAAAGACCAGCAUCACUGUCCUUUUCAGCCACUGAAACUGGUUCUGCCUUUUGGAGGCACAAAGAAUAAGGCUUCUCCUUCUUCCUGGGGAUAGUCACUCAUUCCUUCAUCGUUCGGUCACUCGACUGGCAUUCAGGGAGCACCUGCAAUGUGCCAGGCUGUGCUCAAGGUGCUGGCGAUGCAGCUGUGAACAAACGGAUCUG